GGGGGGGCGGCGGACCGAAUUAGCUCAGAUGAUAUAAGGUCCACGGAAAGGCUUGUUUUUAUUUGUCGGCUUUGAAUAUCAAAAGUCAGGGAUUAGUUCUGUGCAAAAAUUCCAACCAAAAUAGCCAUUGGCUCGGAAGUGGAGAAAACAGAAGAAUCUUCGGGCUGGCGGGGACCACGAGAGACGGUCAGAUCCCGCUAAACCAUCCCCCUCACUCUGGACAAGGCCGCACCUCACCCACCUCAGCAGGCCUCCGGAGAAGGAGACACAGUCACCUCCCGCGGCACGUUUCGCCGAUAGGAUAGAGAGUCGCUUUCUCCAUCUGGGCCUCAGAUCCCUCCUUAUUCAUCAUCCCAAUUCAACCAGUAACACAGCCCUACAAGGAAACUCUUCAGUGGCUGGAUCGGAACACACUGUAUACGCUUCAAAAUUCAGAAGGCUCUCCUCAGAAAUCUAUCUGAAUACGCCAUAGCACAUACCUCCACUGGAGACAAAUGGCAAAAUCCGUCGUAAACACGCAUCGCUCACCCAACCACCUACGAUCACACCCUUAUUCCGAGACGGCUAAUAGAGGAGUCAUCCUAGGACCGGAUCCCCAAAUCCAGGGAACUCAAAGCCAAGAAAACGAUUCUUUAAUCCGUUUCCUUAUGAGGAAUGUGAUUCUCUUCGACUGCCCUUGCUCGUUACUGUCACAUUCUGAAGGUCUUCCAAUAAAUUGUGCUGGAUUCUGUUGAAAA